AGUUUGAUCAUGGCUCAGAAUGAACGCUGGCGGCGUGCUUAACACAUGCAAGUCGAACGAUGAAGCCUAGCUUGCUAGGUGGAUUAGUGGCGCACGGGUGAGUAAUAUAUAGAUAAUGUGCCUCUUAGUCUGGGAUAGCCAUUGGAAACGAUGAUUAAUACUAGAUACUCCUUCUCUUUAUAAUGAGAGUUGGGAAAGUUUUUCGCUAAGAGAUCAGUCUAUAUCCCAUCAGCUUGUUGGUAGUGUAAGAGACUACCAAGGCUAUGACGGGUAGCGGGUUUGAGAGGAUGAUCCGCCACACUGGUACUGAGACACGGACCAGACUCCUACGGGAGGCAGCAGUGAGGAAUAUUGCACAAUGGAGGAAACUCUGAUGCAGCAACGCCGCGUGGAGGAUGACGCAUUUCGGUGUGUAAACUCCUUUUAUGAGUCAAGAAAAUGACGGUAGCUCAUGAGUAAGCACCGGCUAACUCCGUGCCAGCAGCCGCGGUAAUACGGAGGGUGCAAGCGUUAUUCGGAAUCACUGGGCGUAAAGGACGCGUAGGCGGGAUGCCAAGUCUGAUGUGAAAUCCUAUGGCUCAACCAUAGAACUGCAUUGGAAACUGGUAACCUAGAGUAUGGGAGGGGGGAGAUGGAAU
rnacentral:rRNA from 1 species